AUAUGGCAUCACUUGGUUGAGAUCACCUGGAGAAGGCAGGCUCCUGAAACCGAUGAAGAGGAUGCAGAAUAUCAUGAGACAUUUAACAUGACUUCUUCCAGAGGGUGCAAAGAAAGCUCAGUGUUAGCAAUGUGUGCUGUUGUUAAAAAGCUGAGUCAACUGAAAACAACUUAUCAAAACUUACUGCUUGUUGAAAAAUGUUUGGGUUAUACAGUGAAUUACCCAUGUGAAUGUGGAAAGGGAAGAUGGCCUACAGGAUUUAAUAAAGAUUUGGGUGUUUUUUGUUGUUGUUGUUGUUUGUUUGUUUUCUCCCCAGAAAUUGUAUUGCUUUUCUUUUAUGGGGAUACUGGGAAAAGAGCUGGAACUAACACAUCAAUGGUUUUGGACCUGGAGAUGCUUUACAUGACGGUACUGGGCAAAUAAGGAAGGAGCUUCCCCCUUCCAAAGGCUCAUGUACUGAAUUCAGAAUAAACAGACUUCC
rnacentral:lncRNA from 1 species